rnacentral:rRNA from 1 species
UACGUAGGGGCCAAGCGUUGUCCGGAUUUAUUGGGCGUAAAGAGCUCGUAGGCGGUUGGGUAAGUCGGGUGUGAAAACUCUGGGCUCAACCCAGAGACGCCACCCGAUACUGCUGUGACUUGAGUACGGUAGGGGAGUGGGGAAUUCCUGGUGUAGCGGUGAAAUGCGCAGAUAUCAGGAGGAACACCAGUGGCGAAGGCGCCACUCUGGGCCGUAACUGACGCUGAGGAGCGAAAGCGUGGGUAGCAAACAGG